AUGAAAAUAAAUUUAAAUAAUUUGAUGAUGACGCAUGCUCUAUACUUUUGUUUUCAUUUCGUGUCACGGGUUCGGUACGAUGUGGUUUCUAUUAACAAACUAACCAACGUGUUCUCUUAUUAAAAUGGAAUUAAUGGGUAGAAAGUUAACCCACUCAUAAUCUGAUCUAAUAUCCUACUAAUUAAGUAAAGUGAAAAACCUCUUGUUCUUAUGGCUGGGAAAAAGGAUGAAGUUUCGUCAAAGAAUAGCUUGGGUGAUGCUGUUUGGUUAUCUAGGUGUGACUGUUGUAACCAUUUAUUACUUGUUUGAACUUGCUGAUCAGUAUAACAUCCUUUCAUUAGAACAUACAAGAUUGUAUCACUCUAUAGAAAAUAAAAGAAUAGAUAAAAAGGAGACUUUAUUGAGCCAUUUACCAGACAUUCCUUAUGUAGUAUGGCUGUUAUUUGGGAUAUUAAUAUAUAUACAGAUUUUUUUUGUUCUUUAUGCUUGCACAAAACCCCAUCCAAAACAUUAUUUAAUAUCUUGUUUUUUAGUGAUUUGUAAAAAACAUGAUUAUGAUGCAACAAAAGAAGUUAAAAGCAACAAUGAGUUAAAAUCAGAGAAUUUGAUGUUAUCUAAUGGACAUAUAAAUCCAUUAAUAUUAUAAUGAUGAUUUUUGCAGUAUGCAUGAUUGUUAGGUAAAGAUAUUGAUUUAAAAACGGCACAACAGUUUAUGCUUUGUCUAUUGUAUAUAGUAUACAGCAUAAAUAAUGUAUUGAAUAUUUUCAUAGAAGCCAAAUAAAAGUAAAUGAAUGUUACAGUAA